rnacentral:rRNA from 1 species
AUUGAACGCUGGCGGCAGGCCUAACACAUGCAAGUCGAACGGUAACAGGAAUCAGCUUGCUGAUUUGCUGACGAGUGGCGGACGGGUGAGUAAUGUCUGGGAAACUGCCUGAUGGAGGGGGAUAACUACUGGAAACGGUAGCUAAUACCGCAUAACGUCGCAAGACCAAAGAGGGGGACCUUCGGGCCUCUUGCCAUCGGAUGUGCCCAGAUGGGAUUAGCUAGUAGGUGGGGUAAAGGCUCACCGAGGCGACGAUGCCUAGCUGGUCUGAGAGGAUGACCAGCCACACUGGAACUGAGACACGGUCCAGACUCCUACGGGAGGCAGCAGUGGGGAAUAUUGCACAAUGGGCGCAAGCCUGAUGCAGCCAUGCCGCGUGUAUGAAGAAGGCCUUCGGGUUGUAAAGUACUUUCAGCGGGGAGGAAGGGAGUAAAGUUAAUACCUGUGCUCAUUGACGUUACCCGCAGAAGAAGCACCGGCUAACUCCGUG